UUGCCAGACUCCUACGGGAGGCAGCAGUGGGGAAUAUUGGGCAAUGGGCGCAAGCCUGACCCAGCAACGCCGCGUGAAGGAAGAAGGCUUUCGGGUUGUAAACUUCUUUUCUCAGGGACGAAGCAAGUGACGGUACCUGAGGAAUAAGCCACGGCUAACUACGUGCCAGCAGCCGCGGUAAUACGUAUGGUGCAAGCGUUAUCCGGAUUUACUGGGUGUAAAGGGAGCGCAGGCGGCACGGCAAGCCUGAUGUGAAAGCCCGCGGCCCAACCGCGGGACUGCAUUGGGAACUACCGGGCUGGAGUGCCGGAGAGGUAGGCGGAAUUCCUAGUGUAGCGGUGAAAUGCGUAGAUAUUAGGAGGAACACCAGUGGCGAAGGCGGCCUGCUGGGCUUUUACUGACGCUGAGGCUCGAAAGUGUGGGGAGCAAACAGGAUUAGAUACCCGUGUAU
rnacentral:rRNA from 1 species